UACAGAGGGUGCGAGCGUUGUCCGGAAUUAUUGGGCGUAAAGAGCUCGUAGGCGGUUUGUCGCGUCUGCCGUGAAAGUCCGGGGCUCAACUCCGGAUCUGCGGUGGGUACGGGCAGACUAGAGUGAUGUAGGGGAGACUGGAAUUCCUGGUGUAGCGGUGAAAUGCGCAGAUAUCAGGAGGAACACCGAUGGCGAAGGCAGGUCUCUGGGCAUUAACUGACGCUGAGACGCGAAAGCGUGGGGAGCAAACAGG
rnacentral:rRNA from 1 species